rnacentral:tRNA from 1 species
GCUGAUGUAGCUCAGUUGGUUAGAGCGGGCGUUUCAUAAGCGCCAGGUCAUUGGUUCAAGUCCAAUCAUCAGCA